AUUGAACGCUGGCGGCAGGCCUAACACAUGCAAGUCGAACGGUAGCACAGAGAGCUUGCUCUCGGGUGACGAGUGGCGGACGGGUGAGUAAUGUCUGGGAAACUGCCUGAUGGCGGGGGGUAACUACUGGAAACGGUAGCUAAUACCGCAUAACGUCUUCGGACCAAAGUGGGGGACCUUCGGGCCUCACACCAUCGGAUGUGCCCAGAUGGGAUUAGCUAGUAGGUUGGGUAAUGGCUCACCUAGGCGACGAUCCGUAGCUGGUCUGAGAGGAUGACCAGCCACACUGGAACUGAGACACGGUCCAGACUCCUACGGGAGGCAGCAGUGGGGAAUAUUGCACAAUGGGCGCAAGCCUGAUGCAGCCAUGCCGCGUGUAUGAAGAAGGCCUUCGGGUUGUAAAG
rnacentral:rRNA from 1 species